GACGAACGCUGGCGGCGUGCCUAAUACAUGCAAGUAGAACGCUGAAGGAGGAGCUUGCUUCUCUGGAUGAGUUGCGAACGGGUGAGUAACGCGUAGGUAACCUGCCUGGUAGUGGGGGAUAACUAUUGGAAACGAUAGCUAAUACCGCAUAAUAGCAGUUGUUGCAUGAUAACUGUUUGAAAGGUGCAAUUGCACCGCUACCAGAUGGACCUGCGUUGUAUUAGCUAGUUGGUGGGGUAACGGCGCACCAAGGCGACGAUACAUAGCCGACCUGAGAGGGGGAGCGGCCCCACUGGGACUGAGACACGGCCCAGACUCCUACGGGAGGCAGCAGUAGGGAAUCUUCGGCAAUGGACGGAAGUCUGACCGAGCAACGCCGCGUGAGUGAAGAAGGUUUUCGGAUCGUAAAGCUCUGUUGUAAGAGAAGAAAGAGUGUGAGAGUGGAAAGUUCACACUGUGACGGUAUCUUACCAGAAAGGGACGGCUAACUACGUG
rnacentral:rRNA from 1 species